rnacentral:lncRNA from 1 species
GGAUUAGUGAAUCCGGAUAGAUUGGUACAUACGUUGCUUGCUCAUUGGAUGAGGAUGAUUGAUCUCAUGAUCAUUUGUGUGGAGACACUAAAGCAAGUAUGUAGGUGCUCAUUAGAGAAUAAGUUCACUGAACGUGGCUCGCUAAGGAAUACCUAAUGGAGUUUUACUUGCCUGUUAAUAGGAAUUCCUGUAGUGAUAGUAGUACAAGUGAUCCUUGGACUU